rnacentral:misc_RNA from 1 species
GAUGAAGAACGCAGCGAAAUGCGAUAAGUAAUGUGAAUUGCAGAUUUCAGUGAAUCAUCGAAUCUUUGAACGCACCUUGCGCCUUGUGGUAUUCCACAAGGCAUGCCCGUUUGAGUAUCAUUAAAUCAUCAACUCUAAAACCUUUGUGGUUUUUUUAGAGCUUGGUCUUGAGGGUUUUGCAGGCUUUUUUUUUCGAGUCUGCUCCCUUUAAAUGCAUUAGCGAGACUUCCCUAUGCUGAACCUUCUCUUUGACGUGAUAAUUAUCUGCGUCGAAUUUUGGUUCUCGUUGGGCUUGCUUCUAAUCGUCUGUUAAAGACAAAACGGAUUUGGGUGCAUAUAUGCGCCUUUUUCCAAAACCUUUUUUGAUCUCAAAUCGGGUAGGACUACCCGCUGAACUUAAGCAUAUCAAUAAGCGGAGGA